CGUGGUCCUCGGCGGCGACCGCGCUGCGACAGCCGAGCCCCGGGAGCCGCGAACCUGGGCGCGCACAGCCCGCGCCCCAACUCCGCGUCCUGCGUUCCCGCCCGCCGGAGGAGCCGCGUGACCUCGAGUACCUUCCUUGUCCCCUCCGAGCCUCAGUUUCCCCACCGUGCACAGUGGAACCCACCCUCUUGGCGUCACCUGGGGAGUCGAAAAUACUGAAAUCCUGCGAAAUUCCCUGUUGCGGGGCAGUUAAUCUUGGAAAAUAUGUGCCUUCCCCCACUCAAUAAAACCAGGCCACUAGAUUUGAGAGGGGCCCGCGUCUGACUGCGAACCCAGGGCCCUCGCCCCUACGAGACGGAGAAUCGACGUCCAAGAAUCCCCGGGGUCAGGAGGAAGGUGGAGGCCUGGGGCGUACGUCCCUUCCAUGCGCAUGAGGGACCCCCCGCCCCUCGGCAAUUCUUCCCUAAGCUCUAGGGUCGCGGAGACCCUGUGGGCGGGUGCGGGCUGCGGGAGCUGUGCUGGGGAGGCGGCGGUGGUGAAGUCCAAGAAACAAAGUCCUGGGAGUCGGCCCGAGGGAUUCCUCCUGGGUACUGAACUGAACCAGGAUGGGCUCCUGGCAGUGCUGUGUCCCGGGAAGAAGGUGUGAGGCUGUAGGUGCAGAAAUGGGGCAAGAGAUGAAAGGAAAAGGGGCGCUGCUGUUUGCCUUAACGAUUAGCUGGAUACCCGAGAGAGAGCGAAACGUUUUCUUCUAGCAGGACAAUUGGGAGGGAAGGACGCUGGCCCAUGGGGGUUAAAACCCGCGAGUCGAAUUCCACUGCUUACAUUCAUUCACUAUGAGGGAGACAACUUUGUGCUGGUGCUUCAAGUACAUGAUGUCAUUUGGUGCUCAGACGGCCCCUGGGCUGCCUGCAUCCCCCUUACAGUGAGGAUCUCUCAUGAUCAGCUCCCUCCAGGAGGCCUAGAGAGGAGUAGCCACUGCAAGAACCCCUGCCUCCUCCGUUAUCCCGGCUGCUUCUCGUCCCCUCAAUAUGGAUAGACCAGGAACUGGGAUCCCAUGAAAUAAUGGAGACCAGGAGGCUAGGCCCCCUGCAGAAGGCCCCACUCCCAGAAACCAGGAUUUAAGGGAUCUCGCCCAGGCAUUGGUCUAUUUUAGAAAUGCCCCAGGGAUUCCAUUAACUCUCAGGGAUUCCACGUGUUGUUAUACGGAACAAAGGUUAGAAUUUGAGGCAUUUCCAUUUUAUCUGGAAUUGGUAUCAGGUUGAACCAUACAAAAUUGCCGUUUUUGUAAAAGGGCCAAAGUUGUCACAUGUCAGCUCUUUCAUAUGCUUCAACUUAAUAGUUGCAGAUGAUGACACCUCUAGGCUUUGUCUAGAGUAGGGGCACUUUCCCAUCCCAUGUCCCCAGUAGCUCACACCAAAGGCCCCCAGCAGACACUUGAUGACAGCUGGUCCCUCCUCCUGGAAUAGCAUCCCCAACAGAACAUCCUUUCUGAAACCUUUCUGGCUCCUUCUGGCACAGCUCGUUGCUUUCUCCCCAGUCCCAGUCUUCCGUGAAAAUUCAUACCCACCACUCUGUAGCCUCAUUUUCUGUUCAUUUGCCUUCCUCCCCUCUUUGAGCUGAAGCCCUCAGAGGGCAGCACUGGCUCUGAAAAGAUGGCAUGGCCCAACCUCUGUCACUGACUUGAGAAAGCACCUUCUUCUAUCCACUAGUCCCCUGCUUAUCCCCAAAUAGGAGCAAAGUCUGCAAGAUUUUUCUUUUCAAGUGUUAAGAUUGAAGUGAAGAUUUUCUUGUUAACUGGUGUGGUAUAUUUUUGGAUCCUAACAAUUUAUUAAAGAAAAGCUGAAUAAUAUCCAAAAAGGAUCAAACUACAUGAAAAUGAAAAAGUAUGAUAAAGUUAAUCUGGGUGCAAAGUUUACAAAUAAAUGGCACCUUCUUUUACCUGUUUUGGCUCUCAACUUUGUCCUCACUCAAAAAAUGACAUUCAGACAGGUGCAGUGGCUCAUGCCUGUAAUCUCCGCACUUUGGGAGGCCAAGGCAGGGGGAUCACUUGAGUCCAGGAACAUGAGAGCAGCCUGAGCAACAUAAGGAAGCCUCAUCUCAACAAAAAUUUAAAAAUUAGCUGAAAGUGAUGGUACAUAUCUUUAGUCCCAGCGGCAAAUGAGUUUUAAGGGAGGCUAAAGUGGGAGGAUUACUUGAGCCCAGGAGUUUGAGGCUGCAGUGAACCAUGAUCUUACACUCCAGCCUGGGUGACUUCUCUUUUAAUAAGAGUCUGUCUCUUUAAGAAAAAAAAGAAAAUCAUUGGCAAGAUUGGCAGCAACUGCUUUCAAACGAGGUUAUAAGGAUUCAGAUUAGGCUUUGGACGGAAAGAGGUUCAGUCAUAGGUGCAGUACCCUUUGCUUACUGUCACACAUGCUUGUCCUAAUAUGAAGUCCUAAUAAAGUAUCCAGGGAUACAUGGUGUGGUGUGGUUUACAUGUCAUUCUCAUGUCUGUAGUUCUCAUUGAUGCUCCAUGGCAUCUUGGAAGGCAGAUUUUAUCACCCUCAUUUUGUUGAUGAAGAAGCAGAGACCUAGACAUGCUCUGGAGCUGGCCCCAAGGCACAGAGAGGACCAGAUUCUGGUGGGAAUCUGGGGGUCCUCCAACUCGUGUUGUUAAACCCUGGGAGGGGUAAGAAUUGAAAAUUGUUAUUGUCAGUGGUGUGGACUUGAGCUGUGAAUAUGUUAAUACUGUCUCCACAUUUCCCAGGUUGGAAGAAGAAGGCCUUCAGAUGGGCAGUUUGCACCAGGCAUAACAGGGAAAUUAUCUGAGAUACGACAAAGUGAUUGCAAGAUGUCCUCUUAGUGGGUGUCAAAAGUUGAAUUGUGGUCCCCUCUGCCCACCAUUUAUAUGCUGAAGUCCUAAUCCCUGCCUCAUAAUGUGGCCUUAUCUGGAAAUAAGGUCAUUGCCGAUGUAAUUAGUUAAGAUGAGGCUAUAUUGGAGUAGUGUGGGCCUCUCCUCCAAUAUGACUGGUGUCUUAUAAAAAAUGUGGACACACAGACACACAGGGAGAACGCCAAGUGAAAAUUGGAUUGAUGCUGCCACAAGCCAAGGAACUACCAGAAGCCAGGAGAGAUGGUCCCCUGGAACCUUCAGAGCAACCAGCCCUGCCGACACUUUGAUCUCGGACUUCCAGCCUCCAGAACUUCAAGACCAUAAAUGUCUGUUGUGUAAACCCACCCAGUCUGCAGUGGGUUUGUA
rnacentral:lncRNA from 1 species